UGGAUAGAGAGGAGAAAACCUGUGGUGGAUGUGAAGGCCCUGGUGCCAUGUAUGUCAAAUUGAUAUCAUCUGAUGGCCAUGAAUUUAUUGUAAAAGGAGAACAUGCAUUAACAUCAGGCACGAUAAAAGCCAUGUUGAGUGGCCCAGGUCAAUUUGCUGAGAACGAAACCAAUGAGGUCAAUUUUAGAGAGAUACCUUCAAAUGUGAUAUCAAAAGUGUGCAUGUAUUU
rnacentral:lncRNA from 1 species